GAGCUAAUACCGGAUAACAUAUUGAACCGCAUGGUUCAAUAGUGAAAGGCGGCUUUGCUGUCACUUAUAGAUGGAUCCGCGCCGUAUUAGCUAGUUGGUAAGGUAACGGCUUACCAAGGCAACGAUACGUAGCCGACCUGAGAGGGUGAUCGGCCACACUGGAACUGAGACACGGUCCAGACUCCUACGGGAGGCAGCAGUAGGGAAUCUUCCGCAAUGGGCGAAAGCCUGACGGAGCAACGCCGCGUGAGUGAUGAAGGUCUUCGGAUCGUAAAACUCUGUUAUCAGGGAAGAACAAAUGUGUAAGUAACUGUGCACAUCUUGACGGUACCUGAUCAGAAAGCCACGGCUAACUACGUGCCAGCAGCCGCGGUAAUACGUAGGUGGCAAGCGUUAUCCGGAAUUAUUGGGCGUAAAGCGCGCGUAGGCGGUUUUUUUAAGUCUGAUGUGAAAGCCCACGGCUCAACCGUGGAGGGUCAUUGGAAACUGGAAAACUUGAGUGCAGAAGAGGAAAGUGGAAUUCCAUGUGUAGCGGUGAAAUGCGCAGAGAUAUGGAGGAACACCAGUGGCGAAGGCGACUUUCUGGUCUGUAACUGACGCUGAUGUGCGAAAGCGUGGGGAUCAAACAGGAUUAGAUACCCUGGUAGUCCACGCCGUAAACGAUGAGUGCUAAGUGUUAGGGGGUUUCCGCCCCUUAGUGCUGCAGCUAACGCAUUAAGCACUCCGCCUGGGGAGUACGACCGCAAGGUUGAAACUCAAAGGAAUUGACGGGGACCCGCACAAGCGGUGGAGCAUGUGGUUUAAUUCGAAGCAACGCGAAGAACCUUACCAAAUCUUGACAUCCUUUGACCGCUCUAGAGAUAGAGUCUUCCCCUUCGGGGGACAAAGUGACAGGUGGUGCAUGGUUGUCGUCAGCUCGUGUCGUGAGAUGUUGGGUUAAGUCCCGCAACGAGCGCAACCCUUAAGCUUAGUUGCCAUCAUUAAGUUGGGCACUCUAAGUUGACUGCCGGUGACAAACCGGAGGAAGGUGGGGAUGACGUCAAAUCAUCAUGCCCCUUAUGAUUUGGGCUACACACGUGCUACAAUGGACAAUACAAAGGGCAGCUAAACCGCGAGGUCAAGCAAAUCCCAUAAAGUUGUUCUCAGUUCGGAUUGUAGUCUGCAACUCGACUACAUGAAGCUGGAAUCGCUAGUAAUCGUAGAUCAGCAUGCUACGGUGAAUACGUUCCCGGGUCUUGUACACACCGCCCGUCACACCACGAGAGUUUGUAACACCCGAAGCCGGUGGAGUAACCAUUUAU
rnacentral:rRNA from 1 species